GACACAUCACUCCCAUAGGCGCCGGUGCUGGAUGCGCAGGUGUGUUCGCUCUGUCCAGAUGGACGCGCUUACAUUUUUAAAGCACACCGCGAGUCCGUCUUCCUAGCGCGCGCAUGGGUACCCCCGCUACUUUGGCUCCACAUGUGCGCGCAUUUUCGCCUUCACAAGCGAGACUUCUCCGCUCUGCCCAGAUGGGACAUUUCGCACAGUAUAAAAGCUGCAUAAAAUAACGUGAGGGUGACCCCCUUUGGCAGGGUCAUCAUGCGCUGCAGGUGUUUCCCCAGCAGCAGGGGGUGGUUGCUAGGAUACGCUCUGUUUAGCUGGUUUCCAGACUACAGAGCUGCAGGUCUUCAAACCAUAUCACUGCUUCCUCGCGGAUCCAAGGGGGCAGAGAGAAAAUUACAACGCGGGUAAAUCAGCCGCGAAGCCCCGCGGUGCUGACUGCCUAGCGGCCCCUAGAGCGCCAGGCUCUCCGUCAGAGAAAUUCAUUAGUGCGGCGGGGGAGCACUCACACCACUGGGAAUUAGGUGACCUUGAGCAAAGAAUCGCCGGGGUUCUCCUCCAGCAGAACAUGCUUCCAUUGCUCCAGAUCCCACUGGUCCUUCCGACUCCUGGCAAUGUGAGGCUUGCAUGAAGCUGAUUAUAUACACCUGUUGCAAUGGGUCUGAAUGAAUUCUGAAUUCUGUGAUUAAGAGGUGCGUCCCAAUACUUGUCCAUAUAUUGUAUAUAUUCUCCUACAGCCAAAGUUUUACGACUAUGACUUCCGAAUAAUAUUGACUAUCUAGUAAAAAUGAUACGUGUCUGUGCCUGGGAUAUAUCAGACAGUACGCUAACAUUCAGUGUCCGUAGUCAACAUGUUGAACGCAGAAGAAACUGGCAGGAAUAAAGAUCUGAGUGACCUUGACAAAGCCCAUUUCAUGAUGGUCCCAGCACCUCACGAUCAGCCAUGGGGAAGUCUGAGGAGAGAAGAACCUCAAUCUGCCAGCAGCGUGGGAGGUGGCCAAAUCUCAUCGAGUCGAGUAACAAAUGUCGGCUUGCUAUCUAAAACUCUGACGUGCGUGUUUUUAACGAGAAACUCACUGUUAUUCACGUCACGUGGUAGCGGCCAUAAUGUGUUGGCCCAGCUGUGUAUAUUAACUUGCUGUUGGGUGGAUGGCGGCUGAUUAGAUAGAUUUGUUUGCUGCCCUUGCACCCUGUAUGGGGUCGGUGUGUUCUCCCUGUGCAUUUCACCGCUCUUCCCAAAUUGUCCUUUGUGUGCAUAUGUGCGCCCCCCUCCAGUGGUGGGCUAGGUAACCAUUCUCUCAGUGCCCAAUUCUUGAGGGCAGCCCAAAGCUUGCCGUCAAUCUGGAUUAAGUAAGAGGCUCUGGGAAAACUGCAUAU